AACGAACGUUAGCGGUGCGCUUAACACAUGCAAGUCGAACGAGAAAGGGCUUCGGCCCCGGUACAGUGGCGCACGGGUGAGUAACACGUAGGUAACCUGCCCUUGAGUGGUGGAUAACAUUCCGAAAGGAGUGCUAAUACAGCAUAAGACCACGGUUCCAUCAAGGAACAGGGGUCAAAGCGGGCCUCUUCAUGAAAGCUCGCGCUUGGGGAUGGGCCUGCGGCGCAUCAGCUAGUUGGUGAGGUAAUGGCUCACCAAGGCUAAGACGCGUAGCUGGUCUGAGAGGAUGAUCAGCCACACUGGAACUGAGACACGGUCCAGACUCCCACGGGAGGCAGCAGUGGGGAAUUUGCGCAAUGGGCGAAAGCCUGACGCAGCGACGCCGCGUGGGUGAUGAAGGCCUCGGGUUGUAAAGCCCUGGUGGGAGGGAUGAAUAAGGUAUGGACUAAUACCUAUACUGAUGACUAGUACCUCCUUAGUCAAGCACCGGCUAA
rnacentral:rRNA from 1 species